GGAGCUUGCUUUAUAUAACUUAGCAGCGAACGGGUGAGUAACACGUAGAUAAUCUAUCCUAUACUGGGGGAUAGCCCGAUGAAAGUUGGAUUAAUACCGCAUAUAGCUAUAUAGUUGCAUGAUUAUGUAGUGAAAGAUUUAUUGGUAUAGGAGGAGUCUGCGGCACAUUAGCUAGUAGGUGAGGUAAAGGCUUACCUAGGCGACGAUGUGUAGCCGGUCUGAGAGGAUGAACGGCCACAAUGGAACUGAGACACGGUCCAUACUCCUACGGGAGGCAGCAGUGGGGAAUAUUGCACAAUGGGGGAAACCCUGAUGCAGCAACGCCGCGUGAGUGAAGAAGGUUUUCGGAUUGUAAAGCUCUGUUAGCAGGGAAGAGGAAGGACGGUACCUGCAGAGGAAGCCACGGCUAACUACGUGCCAGCAGCCGCGGUAAUACGUAGGUGGCAAGCGUUGUUCGGAAUAACUGGGCGUAAAGGAUGCGUAGGCGGUUAAACAAGUUAUAUGUUAAAUAUAUAGGCUUAACCUGUAGAAAGCAUAUAAAACUGUUUAACUAGAGUGCAGGAGAGGUAAGUGGAAUUCCUAGUGUAGCGGUGAAAUGCGUAGAGAUUAGGAAGAACACCAGUGGCGAAGGCGACUUACUGGACUGUAACUGACGCUGAGGCAUGAGAGCAUGGGGAGCAAACAGGAUUAGAUACCCUGGUAGUCCAUGCUGUAAACGAUGGGUACUAGGUGUGGGUUGUGA
rnacentral:rRNA from 1 species